UACGAAGGGGGCUAGCGUUGCUCGGAAUUACUGGGCGUAAAGCGCGCGUAGGCGGCUUUUCAAGUCAGGGGUGAAAUCCCACAGCUUAACUGUGGAAUUGCCUUUGAAACUGUAAAGCUUGAGUGUCGGAGGGGAUAGCGGAAUUGCUAAUGUAGAGGUGAAAUUCGUAGAUAUUAGCAGGAACACCGGUGGCGAAGGCGGCUAUCUGGACGACAACUGACGCUGAGGCGCGAAAGCGCGGGGAUCAAACAGG
rnacentral:rRNA from 1 species